AUUGAACGCUGGCGGCAGGCCUAACACAUGCAAGUCGAACGAGUGGCGGACGGGUGAGUAAUGUCUGGGAAACUGCCCGAUGGAGGGGGAUAACUACUGGAAACGGUAGCUAAUACCGCAUACCAUCGGAUGUGCCCAGAUGGGAUUAGCUAGUAGGUGGGGUAACGGCUCACCUAGGCGACGAUCCCUAGCUGGUCUGAGAGGAUGACCAGCCACACUGGAACUGAGACACGGUCCAGACUCCUACGGUAGGCAGCAGUGGGGAAGAGUGAACAAUGGGCGCAAUCCUGAAGCAGCGAUUCCGCGGGUAUGAAGAAAGCCUUCGGGUUGUAAAGUACUUUCAGCGAGGAGGCGUUACUCGCAGAAGAAGCACCGGCUAACUCCGUGCCAGCAGCCGCGGUAAUAC
rnacentral:rRNA from 1 species